AGUGAACGCUGGCGGUAGGCCUAACACAUGCAAGUCGAACGGCAGCACAGGAGAGCUUGCUCUCUGGGUGGCGAGUGGCGGACGGGUGAGGAAUACAUCGGAAUCUACUUUUUCGUGGGGGAUAACGUAGGGAAACUUACGCUAAUACCGCAUACGACCUACGGGUGAAAGCAGGGGACCUUCGGGCCUUGCGCGAUUGAAUGAGGCGAUGUCGGAUUAGCUAGUGGGCGGGGUAAAGGCCCACCAAGGCGACGAUCCGUAGCUGGUCUGAGAGGAUGAUCAGCCACACUGGAACUGAGACACGGUCCAGACUCCUACGGGAGGCAGCAGUGGGGAAUAUUGGACAAUGGGCGCAAGCCUGAUCCAGCCAUACCGCGUGGGUGAAGAAGGCCUUCGGGUUGUAAAGCCCUUUUGUUGGGAAAGAAAUCCAGCUGGCUAAUACCCGGUUGGGAUGACGGUACCCAAAGAAUAAGCACCGGCUAACUUCGUGCCAGCCGCCGCAGUAA
rnacentral:rRNA from 1 species